GAGAGGGGAGGACCAGUGAAGAGGGGGAAAACUUCAUUUUAUUUUGGGACUUAAAAUUUUAUUUGGAGUGCUUUCACAGUAAGAAAAAGAGAAGGGAGAAAGAGGAAAAGACUUAGGAAAAUUUCUUUAUUCCUACUCACACUCUUUGCUGUUCGAAUAGAGAGAGAAGAAGAGAGCUGCUGCAUGUUAAAUUUUAGCUCAUUUAGGAGCUGGUUUCUUAAGAGAUUCGCUAAAAAAGUGGCUGAAGGUGGCAGCAGGAAGGGGAAGGAUAUUGCUCAAGGUUAGGCUCGACUGCUGUUCAAUCGAGGAAAUUGAGGUUCGAACCUAAAACGGGGGAAAAACAAGGAAUCGA